UGAAAAGGGGGGGAGGGCUUGCCGUCCCUCGUAAAAAAAGUAGGUAGUGGGGAGAACUCAUGCCCAAAGUUUCGUUGGAAUUCGCCAGUGUGUGCUUGACCAGCAGCGAGUCAAAGUGCGUCCAGUGCCACUAUUGACCCAGUUUACGGACAGUGCCAGACUUUCGUGCAAGGUACAAUGGAUGAUCAAGCGACAAAUAUCAGAUAUUAUUUACGAGAAAGACGAUUUUAUAUGAUUUUUUAAUAAAAUAAUGUAAAAAUUA